rnacentral:rRNA from 1 species
AGGGAAUUCCUUUUGUAACGGCGAGUGAAGCGGGAAUAGCUCAAAUUUGAAAGCUGGCAGCAAUGUCCGCGUUGUAAUCUCGAGAAGUGUUUUCCGUGCUGGACCAUAGAUAUGUUCCUUGGAAUAGGAUGUCAAAGAGGGUGAGAAUCCCGUACAUGCUAUGGACGCCCAGUGCUUUGUGAUACACUUUCGAAGAGUCGAGUUGUUUGGGAAUGCAGCUCAAAAUGGGUGGUAAAUUCCAUCUAAAGCUAAAUAUUGGGGAGAGACCGAUAGCAAACAAGUACCGUGAGGGAAAGAUGAAAAGCACUUUGGAAAGAGAGUUAAACAGUACGUGAAAUUGUCAAAAGGGAAGCGCUUCAAGUCAGAUAUGGCUUUAAAUGUUCAGCCUUUCGGUGUAUUCAUUUUUUGUCAGGCCAGCAUGGAUUUUGAACGUCGGAUAAGGGUAGAAGGAAUGUAGCAUACUUUCGGGUAUGUGUUAUAGCCUUUUACUGGAUACGACGAUCGGGAUCGAGGUUCGCAGCACACCCUUUUGUGUGCAGGUGUUCGGACACUUUUGUUCUUAGGAUGCUGGCGGGGUACUGG